rnacentral:rRNA from 1 species
GGAUUAGAUACCCUGGUAGUCCUGGCCGUAAACGAUGGGCACUAGGCAAUGGGUUUACCUAUGGAACUCAUUGCCGUAGCUAAUGUGUUAAGUGCCCCGCCUGGGGAGUACGCUCGCAAGGGUAAAACUCAAAGGAAUUGACGGGGGAUCACACAAGCGGUGGAGCAUGUGGUUUAAUUCGAAGCAACGCGAAGAACCUUACCUGGCCUUGACAUCUAGGGAUUAGUCCUGUGAAAGCAGGGUGACAGCUCUUCGGAGUCGGAAUCUAGACAGGUGUUGCAUGGCUGUCGUCAGCUCGUGUCG